GCAACCUUAGCUCAGUUGGUAGAGCAUCUGACUCUUAAUCAGCAGGUCGCGGGUUCGAAUCCCGCAGGUUGCACCA
rnacentral:tRNA from 1 species